rnacentral:rRNA from 1 species
GACGAACGCUGGCGGCGUGCUUAACACAUGCAAGUCGAACGGUGACCCUCGGAGCUUGCUUCGGGGUGAACAGUGGCGAACGGGUGAGUAACACGUGAGCAACCUACCCUUGACUCUGGGAUAACAGUUGGAAACAGCUGCUAAUACCGGAUACGACCUCUGAAGGCAUCUUCGGAGGUGGAAAGCUCCGACGGUCAAGGAUGGGCUCGCGGCCUAUCAGCUUGUCGGUGGGGUAACGGCCCACCAAGGCGACGACGGGUAGCCGGCCUGAGAGGGCGACCGGCCACACUGGGACUGAGAUACGGCCCAGACUCCUACGGGAGGCAGCAGUGGGGAAUAUUGCACAAUGGGCGAAAGCCUGAUGCAGCAACGCCGCGUGCGGGAUGACGGCCUUCGGGUUGUAAACCGCUUUCAGCAGGGACGAAGCUUUUGUGACGGUACCUGCAGAAGAAGCACCGGCUAACUACGUGCCAGCCGCCGCAGUAAAAC